rnacentral:rRNA from 1 species
UACGGAGGAUGCGAGCGUUAUCCGGAUUUAUUGGGUUUAAAGGGUGCGUAGGCGGAUCGUCAAGUCAGUGGUCAAAUUGAGGGGCUCAACCCCUUCCCGCCAUUGAAACUGGCGAUCUUGAGUGGAAGAGAAGUAUGCGGAAUGCGUGGUGUAGCGGUGAAAUGCAUAGAUAUCACGCAGAACCCCGAUUGCGAAGGCAGCAUGCCGGCUUCCUACUGACGCUGAAGCACGAAAGCGUGGGGAUCGAACAGG